rnacentral:rRNA from 1 species
AGCAGCCGCGGUAAUUCCAGCUCCAAUAGCGUAUAUUAAAGUUGUUGCAGUUAAAAAGCUCGUAGUUGAAUUUCGGGAUCGACGGGUCGGUCGCGCCUCUGGUGUGUACUGGCCCUGUCGGUUUCUCCCUUCUGACGAACCACGAUGUCAUUAAUUUGGUGUCGUGGGAAAUCAGGACUGUUACUUUGAGAAAAUUAGAGUGUUUAAAGCAGGCAUUCGCUUGAAUACAUUAGCAUGGAAUAAUGAAAUAGGACGUUUGAUCUUAUUUUGUUGGUUUCUAAGAUCGACGUAAUGAUUAAUAGGGAUAGUUGGGGGCAUUAGUAUUCAAUUGUCAGAGGUGAAAUUCUUGGAUUUAUUGAAGACUAACUACUGCGAAAGCAUUUGCCAAGGAUGUUUUCAUUAAUCAAGAACGAAAGUUAGGGGAUCGAAGACGAUCAGAUACCGUCGUAG